CCUUGACCUCAAAUCGGGUGA
rnacentral:rRNA from 1 species